AACCUACAAUAGCCAUAUUCCACACAUUCUUGAUCAACUAUACAAGAUCACCACUAGCAACACUAAUUUAGAAAACUACAUGUCAAUUGAAUUACCGUUCAAAAACGCUUUGUUGACAAAGUUUUUAACUUUCAUAUCAACCAACCAUGUCAUCAAUAUAACCCCAUUUUUAAGUAAAUAGAUAUUCAUGCGCAAUCAUCUAAUAUCUUUCUUGAGCAAUAUAGAUGGCUUAAGAAUCCACUUUUGCGAUUGAUUGUCCGUAUGUUGGUUGACUAUCAACUACACAUUUUCUCUUCAUCCUUAUUCUUUAAAGGAGUGUGGUUCCAUGUUUUGCCUUUCAAAUCGACGUUAUAUCAGUUUCUAUCUUCUUUUCUCAAUCCAUAAUCUCACUUCAUCUUCAACAUCUAAAAAAGUAUUAUACAACCUUUUGAUUUGGUCAACCCUAUGUUAUAGUCUUUUGGAUUCUUAAUAGAUACUACCAUGAACUCAAUAAGACCCAAUAUCAUACUCUAAGUUUAUCUAGACUUGCUAGACACAUUAAGUUCCUGUUUGGUACAACGGUGGGUGACUACCGUAACCGCACAUGAAAAUUUAGCUAAUAUGACUCUGGUGCAUAUGAAAAUUUAAACUUCUAGAGCAACUUGGUUGCAGAUCGUAGACUUACGAUGCAUUGAUGAAAUUGGUAAACACCUUAAAAUUUUAUAUGAUCUUGUUGAUGUUAGACCUUUUUUUAUGUAUGUUUUAAUAACAACAAACUUUAUGAAAUAAAUGGUUAAG
rnacentral:lncRNA from 1 species